CUCGGCCCAAUCAGAGUUCCAAACCGCGGAGUGUUCGCCACGGCGAUAAAUUAACCUCAGCGUGGCGCGGGGUCUCGAAGCCGAAUAACGUACGUGAUUGGCCAGCCUCUUCCAUAUUCUUUUAAGGGCGGAACCUGGCCCUGGAGCCACGCCUAGCGAGCUGUUCUCUUAAUAUGGGUAGGUUCGGGCGUGGAGCUGGCAGCUGCGCGGUGUGCCGAGACAGGGCGUGUUAGUUAUUUAGUGCAGGUGUAGCAGGGAACGAGGGCAUCUGUCGCAGCCGGAGUGCGUCCUGCCGAAGCCUGUGGUUGCACGCCCACCCUCUUAGGGGCUGCCCUCUGCGGAAAUCUUAGUGAUGGUACUUCUCAGUGGUCUUUGCCCACCUGUCUCAUGGUCUCAUUGUACCCGCACACCCACUGCCUCAUUCUUCAUCUAAUUCAGAAUUCCCAGGAGAAGUUGGGUGGCUGGGCCCAGUGUGCUGGGGUCAAGAGGAACAGCUAUGGCCACACACUGCGUCUCGCUCUGUCACCCAGGCUGGAGCGCAAUGGUGCGAUCUCGGCUCACUACAACUUCUGCCUCCCAGGUUCCAGUGAUUCUCCUGCCUCAGCCUCCCAAGUAGCUGGGAUUACAGGUAUGCGCUAUCACGCCCAGCUCAUUUUUUUUUUUGAUUUUUAGUAGAGACGGG
rnacentral:lncRNA from 1 species